GAACAAUCACUUGGAACAGAGCUGCCCCACUGAAUGUUGCUUUCUACAGACCUUGGACAUGAGAGAGAAAUAAGUGUCUUUAUUCUUUAAGCCACUGUUAGGCUUGCCUCAUGCAGCAGGCUGACUUGAGUUGGCACUUGAACAUUUCUUGAAGAGCCCAAACUUCAACAACAAAAGGAAUGAAAUUACAAAGAAAUGAAUGAGACCAAGUUUCUUCAUCAACUCAGGGGAAGGAAGAAGGAGAAAUUUAAAUACUAGAGGUGAUGCAGCUUUCCACUGAAGC